rnacentral:rRNA from 1 species
CCUACGGGAGGCAGCAGUGAGGAAUAUUGGGCAAUGGACGAGAGUCUGAACCAGCCAAGUAGCGUGAAGGAUGACUGCCCUAUGGGUUGUAAACUUCUUUUAUAUGGGAGUAAAAUGUUCCACGUGUGGGAGUUUGUAUGUACCAUAUGAAUAAGGAUCGGCUAACUCCGUGCCAGCAGCCGCGGUAAUACGGAGGAACCGAGCGUUAUCCGGAUUUAUUGGGUUUAAAGGGAGCGUAGGUGGAUUGAUAAGUCAGUUGUGAAAGUUUGGGGCUCAACCGUUGAAUUUCAGUUGAAACUGGCAGUCUUGAGUACAGUAGAGGUGGGCGGAAUUCGUGGUGUAGCGGUGAAAUGCUUAGAUAUCACGAAGAACUCCGAUUGCGAAGGCAGCUCACUGGACUGCAACUGACACUGAGGCUCGAAAGUGUGGGGAUCAAACAGGAUUAGAUACCCUGGUAGUC